CAUGAAGAGCAUUUAUUUUUCUUUGAUUUUGUCUUUUUGCCGAAGCACCUGGGCAGCUUGUGGGCGGAGCCUCGGGGUCCCUAGAUCACCUGUUCUUUACCUGUCUCUACCCCGGGCCGGCGUGCGCGCCGUGUUGCCGGAGCCGAGCCGUGACUCACCUGCUGCCCCGUCUUCAUCGCCGCGGUAACACUUUAAACGGCUUCCACGUAGCUAACGGAUACCUGACAUGCGUCGCUCACGUCGUGUCUGACGAAGCGGGAGAGGGGCGGUGGAUCCCCCCUCCCUCGCUCCUGUCUCCUGUGUAUUUAUGUGAGGAAGAAGAGGAUGCAUAGCAGCCCCAGCGGGGGGCCUCUGUCGGCGGCCACAGGCCUCGUUCACAUCUGCAAAGGGAGCAUUUCAGGAGCAGAUGCUUUGCACGAGCCAAGGAGCUCCCCGCCGGGUCUGGAAUCUCCUCCACAGGCGAACUUUUGACUGAAUCCAAUGUAAAAGACUUCAACAAUCCUCCCAGAAAAGUGUGUAAAUAGUAGCGUGAUAACAAGUAGUGCUCGCCUAAUCUCUCCAGCAGGGUUUCCCUGCGUCACAUGUAACUUUGCUGUAGAUCGUUGGUGUCGAUAGUGUUUAUGUGUGUCGAGCAAAUACAAAAAAAAACAAUUUAAGUGUCAUUGAAAGUGUCUGGUGUAUAAAAGCCUGCUUUACAUGAUGAAGAUGAUGAUGUUGAUUAGCCUUAGCUCUUAACAGUGUUUGAUGGUCAUCAGUGCAGAUUUCACACGUGUUGUUGCUGUUUACAGGUAUUUACAUCGAUGAGUGUUCACUGUGUUUCCGUGUAAAUACGUCUGUUUGGUCCACGAUGAUGAUCUUUGGUGUCACGCGGCGUCGCGGCAGACCGAGGCAAUAUUUAUGUACGGAAUGAGUCCAUGUGGAUCCAUCUCUGUGUGUCCGUAUUUAAAAAACGUGGCGCUCGCUUCAUUUGUUUUGUUUUUACGAGAACGAUGAAAAGCAGCUGGUGCAUUCUGGGAGAUGGGCCGCGGUACGAACAGCGCACGUCUGACCCCCGAUCUCCUCACUGUUUAUUGUAACGUGAUAGAUUAGGCUUCACCUAGUUAUGCACCUGUUUUUUAAACACUAAUAUAUUUUAUUUGUUAUACAGCACAUGAACAUUAAACUUUUAUUUUUUUUAACUCUAUUGUGAUGUGCGUUCUGUGAUCAAUGAGGGAAGCUGGAGAAGCAGGUGUGUGUGUGUGUGUGUGUAAAAAGCUGCUGAUCCAAGUGAAGAAGAGGAGGAGUCUUCUUCACUUUGUGGUAGUUGAGAAGAUUCCCCGCGCAGCUCCAUUUGCAUCCGCGUCACAUCGACACAUUGUGAAACCGGCUGAUGACUCACUCUGACGCAAGUCCUUCUCACAUCCUCCCCGUGAACCUCCCCACUCCCUCCAUCCCUUCACACGCACACACACACACACACACACACGCACGCAGACAGACUUUCUCUGGAGAAUGAACCCCCAUGC
ensembl:lncRNA